AAUGAACGCUGGCGGCAGGCUUAACACAUGCAAGUCGAGCGGUAACAGAGAGAAGCUUGCUUCUCUGCUGACGAGCGGCGGACGGGAGAGUAAUGCCUAGGAAUCUGCCUAGUAGUGGGGGAUAACUUGCCGAAAGGUAAGCUAAUACCGCAUACGUCCUACGGGAGAAAGGAGGGGACCUUCGGGCCUUUCGCUAUGAGAUGAGCCUAGGUCGGAUUAGUUAGUUGGUGAGGUAAUGGCUCACCAAGACCGCGAUCCGUAACUGGUCUGAGAGGAUGAUCAGUCACACUGGAACUGAGACACGGUCCAGACUCCUACGGGAGGCAGCAGUGGGGAAUAUUGGACAAUGGGGGGAACCCUGAUCCAGCCAUGCCGCGUGUGUGAAGAAGGUCUUAGGAUUGUAUAGCACUUUAAGUUGGGAGGAAGAGCAGUUAACUAAUAUUUGACUGUUUUGACGUUACCGACAGAAUAAGCACCGGCUAACUUCGUGCCAGCCGCCGCGGUAA
rnacentral:rRNA from 1 species